rnacentral:sRNA from 1 species
CUGAGCGCAUUCAAAGUUGAGUUCGGCGCGGCGCCUCAUCCACGCCGCACCGAUUCAAGGACCCGCCCGGUUGUCCCCCCGGGCGGGUC